rnacentral:rRNA from 1 species
GAGUUUGAUCCUGGCUCAGCGCGAACGUUGGCGGCGUGCCUAACACAUGCAAGUCGUGGGGCAGCAGACUACUGUCUCUUGGCAGUAGUGCUGACGACCGGCAAACGGGUGAGUAACACGUAGCUUACCUACCCAUAGGUUGGGGAUAACAUCCCGAAAGGGGUGCUAAUACCCAAUAAUGAGGAGACUCCAAAGCCCUUAUGGGUGCCUAUGGAUGGGGCUGCGUCCCAUCAGCUUGUUGGUGAGGUAAUGGCUCACCAAGGCUACGACGGGUAACCGGUCUGAGAGGAUAACCGGUCACAGUGGGACUGAGACACGGCCCGCACCCCUACGGGGGGCAGCAGUGGGGAAUAUUGGGCAAUGGCUGAAAGGCUGACCCNNCAACGCCGCGUGGUGGAUGAAGCCCUUCGGGGUGUAAACACCUUUUCUGGGGGAAGAUAUGACGGUACCCC